CGUAGGUGGCAAGCGUUGUCCGGAAUUAUUGGGCGUAAAGGGCGCGUAGGCGGUCCCUUAAGUCAGAUGUGAAAUCCCGAGGCUUAACCUCGGGCGUGCAUUUGAAACUGGGGGACUAGAGUGCAGGAGAGGUAAGUGGAAUUCCUAGUGUAGCGGUGAAAUGCGUAGAUAUUAGGAGGAACACCAGUGGCGAAGGCGACUUACUGGACUGUAACUGACGCUGAGGCGCGAAAGCGUGGGGAGCAAACAGGAUUAGAUACCCUGGUAGUCCACGCUGUAAACGAUGGAUACUAGGUGUGGGAGGUAUCGACCCCUUCCGUGCCGCAGUAAACGCAAUAAGCACUCCGCCUGGGGAGUACGGCCGCAAGGUUG
rnacentral:rRNA from 1 species